rnacentral:rRNA from 1 species
GAAUGAACGCUGGCGGCAUGGAUUAGGCAUGCAAGUCGAACGGGACGCUUUCGGGUGUCUAGUGGCGAAAGGGUGAGUAACACGUGAGCAACCUGCCCCCGAGUCUGGAAUAAGCGAUGGAAACGUCGUCUAAUACCGGAUGAGGACUGGAGUCUCCUGACUCCAACUCCAAAGAUUUAUCGCUUGGGGAUGGGCUCGCGUCCCAUUAGCUGGUUGGCGGGGUAACGGCCCACCAAGGCGACGAUCAGUAGCCGGCCUGAGAGGGUGAACGGCCACACUGGAACUGAGACACGGUCCAGACUCCUACGGGAGGCAGCAGUGGGGAAUAUUGCACAAUGGAGGGAACUCUGAUGCAGCGACGCCGCGUGAGUGAAGAAGGUCUUCGGAUCGUAAAACUCUGCCCUUGGUGAAGAAAAGGACGGUAGCCAAGGAGGAAGCCCCGGCUAACUACGUGCCAGCAGCCGCGGUAAUACGUAGGGGGCGAGCGUUGUCCGGAUUUACUGGGCGUAAAGGGUGAGUAGGCGGUUAUAUAUGUCAGGUGUAAAAGAUCAUGGCUCAACCAUGGUUGGCACUUGAAACUGUAUGACUUGAGUGCAGGAGAGGUAAGCGGAAUUCCUAGUGUAGCGGUGAAAUGCGUAGAUAUUAGGAGGAACACCAGUGGCGAAGGCGGCUUACUGGACUGUAACUGACGCUGAGACACGAAAGCGUGGGUAGCAAACAGGAUUAGAUACCCUGGUAGUCCACGCUGUAAACGAUGAGUGCUAGGUGUUGGGUAGCGAUAUUCAGUGCCGGAGUAAACACAAUAAGCACUCCGCCUGGGGAGUACGUACGCAAGUAUGAAACUCAAAGGAAUUGACGGGGACCCGCACAAGCAGCGGAGCAUGUGGUUUAAUUCGAAGCAACGCGAAGAACCUUACCAAGGCUUGACAUCCCCUUGACCAGUGCAGAGAUGUACUCUCUUCUUCGGAAGCAAGGGAGACAGGUGGUGCAUGGUUGUCGUCAGCUCGUGUCGUGAGAUGUUGGGUUAAGUCCCGCAACGAGCGCAACCCUUAUCCUUAGUUGCCAGCAAGUUAAGGUGGGCACUCUAAGGAGACUGCCGGUGAUAAACCGGAGGAAGGUGGGGAUGACGUCAAAUCAUCAUGCCCCUUAUGUCUUGGGCUACACACGUGCUACAAUGGUCGGUACAACGGGGAGCGAAGGAGUGAUCCGGAGCAAAUCCCAAUAAACCGAUCCCAGUUCGGAUUGCAGGCUGCAACUCGCCUGCAUGAAGUCGGAGUUGCUAGUAAUCGCGAAUCAGCACGUCGCGGUGAAUGCGUUCCCGGGUCU